AUUGAACGCUGGCGGCAUGCCUUACACAUGCAAGUCGAACGGCAGCGCGGGGCAACCUGGCGGCGAGUGGCGAACGGGUGAGUAAAGUAUCGGAACGUACCCUAGAGUGGGGGAUAACGUAGCGAAAGUUACGCUAAUACCGCAUACGAUCUAAGGAUGAAAGUGGGGGAUCGCAAGACCUCAUGCUCGUGGAGCGGCCGAUAUCUGAUUAGCUAGUUGGUAGGGUAAAAGCCUACCAAGGCAUCGAUCAGUAGCUGGUCUGAGAGGACGACCAGCCACACUGGGACUGAGACACGGCCCAGACUCCUACGGGAGGCAGCAGUGGGGAAUUUUGGACAAUGGGGGAAAGCCUGAUCCAGCAAUGCCGCGUGUGUGAAGAAGGCCUUCGGGUUGUAAAGCACUUUUGGCGGGAACGAAACGGAGUGGGU
rnacentral:rRNA from 1 species